AACGAACGCUGGCGGCAGGCCUAACACAUGCAAGUCGAACGUGAAGCUGGAGCUUGCUCCAGUGGAAAGUGGCAGACGGGUGAGUAACGCGUGGGAACCUUCCCAGUGGUACGGAAUAACUCAGGGAAACUUGAGCUAAUACCGUAUAAGCCCUUAGGGGGAAAGAUUUAUCGCCAUUGGAUGGGCCCGCGUCGGAUUAGCUUGUUGGUAGGGUAACGGCCUACCAAGGCUACGAUCCGUAGCUGGUCUGAGAGGAUGAUCAGCCACACUGGGACUGAGACACGGCCCAGACUCCUGCGGGAGGCAGCAGUGGGGAAUAUUGGACAAUGGGCGAAAGCCUGAUCCAGCCAUGCCGCGUGAGUGACGAAGGCCCUAGGGUUGUAAAGCUCUUUUGGCGGGGACGAUAAUGACGGUACCCGCAGAAUAAGCCCCGGCUAACUUCGUG
rnacentral:rRNA from 1 species